rnacentral:lncRNA from 1 species
UUGGUAUGCAACACAAUUAUUAUGAGUACAGAAUAAAAUGAAAACUCAGAGAGUGUUGAAAAUAAUAGGGUUGGUACUUUAUAUGCAAGAUGAAAAUAUAAUUAUCAUGUAAAACAUGAACUUAAUAAUAAAAAAAAAGUUGUUGUUUAAUGACUCUUUUUGGGUGUAUUGGGACAUUUGCUGUUUGUCAACAUAAAUGAAAGACAGCCAUGGGUAAAAUCAAAGGGCUUGCACAAAUAAAAUGCAUAUGUUAGUCGACUUUUUAAUUUCAAUAAACGGUCAUAAAUCUGACAAGUUCGUGCUUGUAUUUCAAUAUCUAUAAUCCAGUCAUGUUUUCUGUAUCAAUGGUUUCCACGAAUCUUGCGCUUUGGGUAUCAUUUACAGUUUAAAUUUCCUGAGACAAAGUCAUUGCAUAAAUAAAAAAGUCCGCAGUUUUCUAAUCACAGAAAUUUGUGACAUACCGCGAUUUGCAGUCUUGGAAACAGCGUGUUUUCUCUUAACACCAAUAUUUCACGUCAUUCUCGUUAUCAAUCUUUACUCUCGGAAGAUGAUGUUGUCAUCAUAGAGCAGCGGAAAGGUCGACUUAAUCAUUUUUGUUAGAUUUACUUGAGGUACAAAACCGAAAUUUGAAACAGGAAGCUUUGAGGAUGAAACGAAAUUUUAACGGUUACCGGUAACGGGAAUGAACGAAAUCCGGAAAUCGUAAAUUUUAUAAAAUAAAAAAAUUCGGGGCGGGACGAUUUCAGAGGGGCGGGCGGGGAUGAAAAUCUAUCAAUUAAUUUUAAUUGGCC